rnacentral:ncRNA from 1 species
UGCCAUAAAAGGCAAAGCCAUUGAAAGAUGGUGACGCAAAGCUGUAGGGGCUAAGGCGGUUUAACCGCUAGGCCAGCCAGUUGCCGGG